rnacentral:rRNA from 1 species
UACGAAGGGGGCUAGCGUUGCUCGGAAUCACUGAGCGUAAAGCGCACGUAGGCGGGUCGUUAAGUCAGGGGUGAAAUCCUGGAGCUCAACUCCAGAACUGCCCUUGAUACUGGCGAUCUCGAGUUCGGGAGAGGUGAGUGGAACUGCGAGUGUAGAGGUGAAAUUCGUAGAUAUUCGCAAGAACACCAGUGGCGAAGGCGGCUCACUGGCCCGAUACUGACGCUGAGGUGCGAAAGCGUGGGGAGCAAACAGG